rnacentral:tRNA from 1 species
UCCCUUAUAGCUCAAUCGGUAAAGAAUCUGCCUGCAAUGCAAGAGACCCGGGUUCGAUUCCUGGGUCGGGAA